CGUUGGUGUGCAGUAUGGUGAGCUCCCAGCCGCCUGCCGCGGGCCACAGCAGCGCGCCCAGCGCGAGCAGCCUCAGCGCUGAGGCGCGUGCGCCUCGGGGACCCAUGGCUGCAGCUGCCGGCGAGGGCGCGAGGGCGAGGAAAGAAGAGGGGGAUUUGGAUGGAGAAGACACAGAGAAGACCCCAUGUAAGGAAAGAGGCAGAGGAUGGAGUGAAGCAGCUAAAAGCCAAAGAAUGCCAAGGAUGGCUGGGAGCCACCAGAAGUUGGAAGAGCCUUCAGAGGGUGUAUAGCCCUGCUGACACAUUGAUUUCAAACUUCUGGCCUCCGGAAUGGGCUGGUGCUCACCGCCAUGGGAAUGAUCUCUUCUGGAAGGUCUAUGAGUGUGGGAAAAGCUGGAAUUUGUCUUGCCAUUGGAUGACCAACACAGGGGAAAACUUAAAUCACUGCCAGGGGAAAUGGAGGAAAAGCUGCUUCCGGGAACCCCUCCGAAGUGGAAUGAUAACAGUGGAAACAGGAGAGCAGUACGCGGGCCUCUCACUGUUGUGGCCUCUCCCGUUGCAGAGCACAGGCUCCGGACGCACAGGCUCAGCGGCCAUGGCUCACGGGCCCAGCCACUCCGCGGCAUGUGGGAUCUUCCCGGACUGGGGCACAAACCUGUGUCCCCUGCAUCGGCAGGCAGACUCCCAACCACUGCACCACGAGGGAAGCCCGCUAUUUAUUUUAUACAUAGUAGUUUGUACCUCUCAGUCCCCUACCCCUGUCUUGUCCCUCCUCCCUUCCCUCUCCCCACUGGUAACCACUGGUUUGUUCUCUACAUCUGUGAGUCUGCUUCUUUUUUGUUAUAUUCACUAGUUUGUUGUAUUUUUUAGCUUCCACAUGUAAGCGAUAUCAUACAGUAUUUGUCUUUCCGACUAUUUCACUCAGCAUAUUGUCCUCCAAGUCCAACCGUGUUGUUGCAAAUGGCAAAAUUUUCUUCCUUUUUUAUGACUGACUAGUAUUCCAUGGUGUGUGUGUGUGUGUGUGUGUGUGUGUGUGUGUGUAUGUGUGUGUGUGUGUAUACACCACAUCGUUAUCCAUUCAUCUGGUGAUGACACUUAGGUUGCUUCCAUAUCUUGGCAAUUGUAAAUAAUGCUGCUUUGAACACUAGGGUGCAUGUAUCUUUUCAAAUUAUAGGUUGGGUCUUUUUGGAUAUAUACUGAGGAGUGGAAUUGCUGGGUCAUAUGGUAGUUCUAUUUUUAGUUUUUUGAGAACCCUCCAUAGUGUUUUCCACAGUGGCUGCAACAAUUUACAUUACCACCAAGAGUGUUAUGAUGUUUCCCUUUUCUCCAUAUCACAGAUGUACUUUUUUGAAAUCAUUCACUUAAACCCCUCACCCCUAAUUUCAUCAAAAUAAUUUGGUUUUCUGUUAACAUUUAAAAUUUGUCCCAAAAGAAAUAACAACUGUCCAAAACAAACCAAAAAUCCAACAAGUGUUUUACAGAAACUGUCUUUUUCUUUAGAGGUGCUUCUUGCUUGAAACAAGAGGAUCUUGUGGUUUGAUAAAAUAUGUUUUGAAUACCCAAGGAGGGCCUCCUUUUGAAGGCUUAUACACUGCAGUCUCUCUCAAGAUUUGAACUUACUCAGAGAAGAAAGGUGAACUGCAUUUGUUCCAAGUAAAAUAUACAUCCGUAUUAUUCACCAUCGCACCCCUAUUCCAUUAUAAACAAAUACUGACCUUGUUCUUCUGAUGUGAAGCCAGAGGGGGUGUGAAAUAUAGCAAGGAGAACAGUCUGAUGCAGAAAUACGAACAUUCCAACCAACAGAAACACAAUAUUUAAAAGGAGUAGAGAAGGUCCCUAGUUGGUCUUUCUAAUUCCUAUUCUGUUGCUGAAUAGGAAGGUAAUGGGGAAGGUAAUGCAGUAGUGGUCAGUCACUUAGGGAAAAUUGCCUACGUUAUUUCAGAUAGCCAGUUGGAUUUCUUUUUUUCUUUAGGAUCUAUUUCUUGGAAGUUCUUUUAUUUCUUUCUUUAGUCCUCAAGAACUUCUUUUGAGAACUGUUUUUUUGGUGAACUUUUGACCUAAAUACUAGAAACCAGUUUCCAUUUGGAUGCCGAGCAAAUUUCCUCCUUUCAGAGGGGCUGGGAGCUACUCCCCUAAUCAUGAUUUUUCUCAGCAUGACAUCUUAGUAAAAGGCUUUUGAAUGGAAGAGAAACUUGGCAAAUGUAAUAUUAGAAAAAAGAAGAGGAACACAAGUUGGGAAAAGAUGCUCCAGAUGUGGGGUUUUGAUGUCAAAUGAAAACCACUCCCAGUGUUCAGUAUUUUCUUUUGUAAAGUCGGGAUAGAAGGUGAAUUAAAUGAGAUAAUACAGUUGUUUCUCCUACAAUGUAAUAUAUGUUUUCCUAAAAAUUGAGACAUGAUAGAAUUUCGUGCAAUAAAAAGGAUGGGCCUCAUGGGAAAAAUAGAAUUGGGUGGAACGUUCAACACCUGUAUAGUCUAGUAAGGAAUACUCUUCUAAAAACCUAAUAAAAGUUUUAAACAUCUUAAAUCCCUAACAAAUUUAAAAAAGACGAUGGUACCUAGAGCAUUUCACCUUUCAGAAAGCACGAGGCUUUCUUGGUGGCGUUGUACAGUGAAACAUGCGGGCUUUUGAGUUACGGAGAAGAGGCGGAGGGAAGGGAAUCGGAGGACAGCACGCUAUGGCCCCAGGGGUGCUCUGGUUUGCUGGUCCUGUUUUCCUUCUGCAUUAACUUAAAAAAGAAAUCCAGUGUUUGUUGUUUUGCCAUUUCCUCCUUUCUUUAAGAAGCUGCACCUAUGGCUCCAGGUGAGAUGGGAGGCCACAGAGUGCCAGCUGCUGUGCAUGGUGUUGGAUGCGUGGCUCUCCGGGCCAUGCAGGUGCCCGGCACCUGAUGCCUGCUGCCCAUGGCUCGGGCGAGCUCAGCCCUGGUGCACAGCGACACCAUCAGCCCCUGCAUCAGCAGCAGCAGUGCUUUAUGCAGCCUCCUCAGGCUUGUUCAGGAGACUCUGCAGCCCUUACGGUUCCUUCUGCUCAACAGCUUUCUUUGAUUUUUGCUGCACUGUCGCUGAUGGUGCACGAUGUCGAUUUCCUUAGGCCUCUUGCUCUUGCUCUUGUGACAUCACACAUUCUCCUGUUUCUUUCUACAUGUCUUAUCAUUGUAAGCUCCAGAGACGGACUGCCCUGUCUUCUGAGCACAUUUACCUCACUCUACACAACAGAUUUAAAGUUAUAUAUAAGCACAAAUAAAUGCAACAUCUUUAAAGUUGUAUAGGAAUAAAAAAGGUUAAUUGAAUCUUUUUUUUUUGCCCUUGCCAUGCAGCAUGCGGAAUCUUAGUUCCCUGAACGAACAGGGAUGGAAUCUGUGACCCCUGCAAUGGACAUGCUGAGUCUUAACCACUGGACCACCAGGAAAGUCUCUGAAUCAUUGUUUUUUAAAGACUAGUGCAUUUCUUCCUAAACCUACAUGCAAACCAAACUCUGGGUGAGCUAUUUAAAAAUAAGGAUUCCAUGGGGCUUCCCUGGUGGCGCAGUGGUUGAGAGUCCACCUGCCGAUGCAUGGGACA